rnacentral:rRNA from 1 species
UUUAUGGCUGUCGUCAGCUCGUGCUGUAGGGGGUUGGGUUAAGUCCCGCAACGAGCGCAACCCUUGCCCUUAGUUGCCACCGGUGAGUUUGGGCACUUUAAGGAGACUGCCGGUGACAAACCGGAGGAAGGUGGGGAUGACGUCAAGUCAUCAUGGCCCUUACGGGUAGGGCUACACACGUCAUACAAUGGUCGGUACAAAGGGUUGCCAAGCCGCGAGGGGGAGCCAAUCCCAAAAACCCGAUCGUAGUCCGGAUGGGAGUCUGCAACUGGACUCCGUGAAGUGGGAAUCGCUAGUAAUCGCGGUUCAGCAUG